UACGUAGGGUGCGAGCGUUGUCCGGAAUUAUUGGGCGUAAAAGAGCUCGUAGGCGGUGUGUCACGUCGGCCGUGAAAAACCUGCAGCUUAACUGUGGGCGUGCGGUCGAUACGGGCAUCACUGGAGUUCGGCAGGGGAGACUGGAAUUCCUGGUGUAGCGGUGAAAUGCGCAGAUAUCAGGAGGAACACCGGUGGCGAAGGCGGGGUCUCUGGGCCGAUACUGACGCUGAGGAGCGAAAGCGUGGGGGAGCAAAACAGG
rnacentral:rRNA from 1 species